GACGAACGCUGGCGGCGUGCUUAACACAUGCAAGUCGAACGGAAAGGCCCUGCUUUUGCGGGGUGCUCGAGUGGCGAACGGGUGAGUAACACGUGAGUAACCUGCCCUUGACUUUGGGAUAACUUCAGGAAACUGGGGCUAAUACCGGAUAGGAGCUCCUGCUGCAUGGUGGGGGUUGGAAAGUUUCGGCGGUUGGGGAUGGACUCGCGGCUUAUCAGCUUGUUGGUGGGGUAGUGGCUUACCAAGGCUUUGACGGGUAGCCGGCCUGAGAGGGUGACCGGCCACAUUGGGACUGAGAUACGGCCCAGACUCCUACGGGAGGCAGGAGUGGGGAAUAGUGCACAAUGGGCGGAAGCCUGAUGCAGCAACGCCGCGUGCGGGAUGACGGCCUUCGGGUUGUAAACCGCUUUCGCCUGUGACGAAGCGUGAGUGACGGUAAUGGGUAAAGAAGCACCGGCUAACUACGU
rnacentral:rRNA from 1 species